UACGAGGUGGCCGAGUUGUUAAGGCGAUGGAUUGCUAGUCCAUUGAGGUUUCCCCGCGUGGUUUCGAAUCCCAUCCCCGUCG
rfam:Schistosoma mansoni strain Puerto Rico chromosome 4, complete genome